UCACGGUCUGCAGUUAACAACAUGGUGACCGAAAGAAUGGCUUCGGCAGUGCUAGAGGUACUCAAAGCGGUGUCUGUGGAGCCUGUGAUGCUGGUAGACGGAGCGUGCAAUCAGGCGAUGCUUCUCUUCAUCGAGAACGUCCAGAUGAACAAGAUAUGUUCCAUUAACCUUGGACUCGCGGAUCAGGUGUGCAAUAACUUAUCGGCUCACGAAGAGCUAAAUGUUCUGGUCCAGAGAGAGUUCAGUGUCUUCACCUUCUACAACAGCAUCGUCAUGUCUAUUAUUCCACUUAUCUUCGUGCUGUUUAUGGGUGCUUGGAGUGAUAAAUAUGGCAGGAAGAUCCCCUUGUUAAUGACACUUACUGGUCACGUGCUAUACGCCGGAGGAUAUCUUCUGAGUAACUGGCAGACAUCUUGGCCCGUUGAGGUCAUCUACUUCGUCACCGUCUUGGAGGCUUUGGGCGGCGGAAACGUGGGCCUCUUGUCUACCACCAUCAGCUACAUCAGUGACAUAAGUCCCGAGACAACUCGCACUUCUCGCGUCAGUACAGCAAACUCUCUGUGGUACCUGGGAGGCCCUGUGGGCACCCUGGUUGGGGCGUUGGUUAUCAAGUAUGGCGGCUACAACUUGGCCCUCAUGUUGGUUCUGCUGGCCUACCUCUCGGCCGUCCUCUAUGUGGUCUUCGUCAUCAAAGAGUCACACGGACCCUUCGCCAAGAUCACUUUGCAGGCUCAAGACUCUGUCAAGCAGGAAGCAAGUUCCGAGACCAAGAAUGUAUCGAAGCUUCGCAUGGCGUCCGAGUUCUUCAACUGGCGACGUGUUGUGGAGUCCUUCAAGACGGCGUUCAGACGGCGCGAGGGUAACACCCGAAAAGUUCUCCUGGCUAUAGUCUUCAGUAACAUGAUCCGUCGAGCCGCUAGAGGUUUCUUCAUGUACAUGUUCGUGCGUCGUGCGCUUAGUUGGGAGGCCACCGACUAUGGCUACUGGGCGACGUAUCGUAAUUUUUUCGCAGCCAUUGGUUCGUUGUUCCUGGUCCCGGUCCUGACGAAGUCGCUGGCAACCACGGACGUAUUACUAAUAUUACUAGGAUCUGCUUCCCUUAUCGGAGAAUACAUUUGUUACGGCCUUGUCAGCGGCGUGUCUCAGACGUUCCUCCUGUGGCUGGGACCUGUUGCAGGACUCAUCUCCAACGCCAGCGUCAUCGCCUUCAGAUCCAUGUCCACUAAGCUCGUCUGCAAAGAAGAAAAGGGUCGCAUCAGCGCUGUCAUGGCCGCCAUGAACGGCCUCAUGCCCAUGGUCGCCUACGCCGCCUAUUCACCUAUAUACUACGUGACGGUCGAGACCUUCCCCGCUGCGCAGUUCUUCUUCGGCGCCGCGCUCAACCUCUGCAUCAUAGUCAUGUUCACAAUACUUCAUCAUUCGUGUUCAUGUCCAUGCCUCAACUCCUACAAGUCCAAAGAUCUAGAAUCAGGUUCGAAAGUGAAUAAGAAAUUCUUUGAAGAGCUGAAGAAAAAAUACGCUUUCACUCUGCAACUAGCAACAAGAACCAUGAGUCAUUCUUCCAGAAGGUCCUCGGCGGAGAACAGCCUCGAAGAGACCAGGACAGAGGCCAAUGGCGUCCGACCGCUGGCGAAUCGCCCCGAACAAAUGCAUGCAACGACGCCCAUUAGUUUCCCCGGAAGCGAGGAAGACACGGAUAAGAAGAGGGACCCUCCCUCGGCGCAUCGCGACGGCGCUCAUGCGUCCAAUUCCGCGGAGGAGAGAGAAAGUGAGAGCUUUGGGAACAAACCGGAAGUGCAAUUGCCAAGGUGAUUUUAUCAUGCAUUUUCUGACAAGAUUCACAUUUUCAAGGCUAGCAAGUACCAUCCAGUUGUUGGUGCGAUGAUACGGGUCAAGAUUUAAGUUAUCGAUUACUUGAACUGCAUGGGAUAAGUUGGAAGUACUGUGUGUUGUAAGACAGUGAGUCUGAAUGUAAGUACUGUAGUAAAAAAAAAAAAAUGCUGUACAAACUAGAUUUUACAGUUAGGUAUUUGAUUUUUUAUGAAAUACUAAUAUUUUCACUCAUAUUGUAACUCGAUAAAUAUAUGGCAUAUUUUAGUUUUAUCUGUUCACUAGGGGUGUGUGUGCGUGUGUAUGUGUGCGUAUGGAAGGGUGCUUACCUACUAAUGAAGCUGAGUUAGUAAUGAAUUACAAACGUAUAAAUACAUUUUCACAUCUUAAUAAUCAGACGCCAUACAUUAUUGGAUUAGACCUAAAGAUAUUUCCCAUUAACUUACCUUGUUCUGCCAUUCUACCAAGACAGCAGAAUGUUUUGCCAGUCUCCAAGAGGGAUGCAUUCCCCCUCCCCUAUUUUCCUUCCCCUAGAUUCAAGAAGUAUAUGUUGCUAUGAUCCAUGCAUAUCUCAUACAUCUUGGCAGAUAAGAUAGAGUAGUCAGAUACAAGAUCCGACUUGCUUGGGUUUUAUGUUGUUGUUUUACAGCUUUUCAAAGCGAAGGCUGUAUUUACAUGUGAUUUGACAGAUACCAUAGAGGAAGAUGUUUAGGUUAUCAGUCAGGAGAAGCAUGGAAUUCAGACAAAAAUGACUACACCCUUUGCAAGAACCUUUGCAAGACUAAAGGGGGUGUCACACAAGGGAAACAUUUCUUGCUACAAUCUACAAUCUCUUCACGUAUUGUGUAUUGCAUAUCACACGAAGUGCGAGCAAUUCACUCUGUGCAUGUAUCAGUAAACAACAGGAAUGCUGCACGGAUACAUGUCUGGGCUGGCUUCAAAACAUGUUUGUAACAUGAUAACUGACAGUAAUACUUAGUAAAUUUCUUAGUUCCCUAGAACGAGACAAUAGUCAAUAUCAUUAUUCUUUAUCAAUGUAUUGAUAAGAAUUUGAAAAGCACUACAUACUGGGACUUGUCAUGUUCUGGCUAAUUAUAUUUAUAUAAA
rnacentral:misc_RNA from 1 species